rnacentral:rRNA from 1 species
AGUGAACGCUGGCGGUAGGCCUAACACAUGCAAGUCGAACGGCAGCACAGAGGAGCUUGCUCCUUGGGUGGCGAGUGGCGGACGGGUGAGGAAUACAUCGGAAUCUACUCUGUCGUGGGGGAUAACGUAGGGAAACUUACGCUAAUACCGCAUACGACCUACGGGUGAAAGCAGGGGAUCUUCGGACCUUGCGCGAUUGAAUGAGCCGAUGUAGGAUUAGCUAGUUGGCGGGGUAAAGGCCCACCAAGGCGACGAUCCGUAGCUGGUCUGAGAGGAUGAUCAGCCACACUGGAUCUGAGGCACGGGACAGACUCCGACGGGAGGCAGCAGUGGGGAAUAUUGGACAAUGGGCGCAAGCGUGAUCCAGCCAUACCGCGUGGGUGAAGAAGGCCUUCGGGUUGUAAAGCCCUUUUGUUGGGAAAGAAAUCCAUCUGUUUAAUACCCGGGUGGGAUGACGGUACCCAAAGAAUAAGCACCGGCUAACUUCGUGCCAGCCGCCGCGGUAA